AGUCCCUUGAUUCAGACGAAGUUCUGAAAGAAAUCAUGAAGGAACUGCAGAGAGAGCACAAUGCAGCUGGUGCCAAAAUACAUGUUCCCAAGAUCCAGGAGAGUGCUGGAAGAGAUUUCUGUCGGGGAACACGCUGCUUGAUUGUGAUAAUGGCAAGCAUGUUUGGUGGGCAGCUUGUCAUCAUGUCAUGCUGCGCUGGAAUCUGGUACUGGCGGGUGAGAAAACGGUGAGUUGUUUGUUGAUCUCCCCCUCAAACAGCUUCUUUUGAAGGCAGCUCCUAGCCAUGGAACAUUCCCAGCCUGGCUGCUGUGGAGCGGCCAGUUAGUCCUUGGCCAAAGAACUCUGCUGAGGGUGCUGCUGCUGUCCAGUGCUGUGCUGGCCUCUCAGCUGCUGGGCCCCUCCUGGGGAGCCCGCUGGGACUGGAGCCAGUGCUGGCUCCAAGUGAGCCUGCCUGGCCAAGAGCAGCCCCAGCAGGACGGGCAGAGGCAAAGCAAGGUGGGGAGGAGAAGGAGCGGGGACGAGAUUGCCCUUGGAAGGCAGACGUGCCCUGGCGCCCGCUCCUGCCCAGGGACCCUGCCCAGAGCCAUCCCCCUGCUCGCUGGGGCCUUGAGGGGCAGGUGUCCACCGGGGCCAAGGUGUGCCAGCAGCUCCCCCGUGGUGCUGAGCCUUGCCAGCUCUGGGCCCUGCUGGGCAGCAGAGUCCCUGUGUGCCCCCUGCAGCUGGGCCUCAGCCACCUCCUCUCUCCACAGGCAAGAGAGCAGCCUUGCUCCUGCUCCAGCCCAGCCAAACACCUCGGUUAGGAGGAAGCAGAUCUCUCAUCUCAGCUCUCCCAGCCUAUACCCGGCUAUGCUGCCGCAGCUGCAGAACCUCCACGUCCAGGAGCCACCCAAACGAGCCCCUCUGCCACUGAGCCCCCUGGCCCUGCACUCCAACCAGGUCUGAAGGUGGGCCCCCCACCAGGGUAGGGGUUGGCCCACCUCUUAUGUACAAAUAAAGAGAUUUUGAGCCCUCA